rnacentral:rRNA from 1 species
GACGAACGCUGGCGGCGUGCUUAACACAUGCAAGUCGAACGGAAAGGCCCUGCUUUUGUGGGGUGCUCGAGUGGCGAACGGGUGAGUAACACGUGAGUAACCUGCCCUUGACUUUGGGAUAACUUCAGGAAACUGGGGCUAAUACCGGAUAGGAGCCCCUGCUGCAUGGUGGGGGUUGGAAAGUUUCGGCGGUUGGGGAUGGACUCGCGGCUUAUCAGCUUGUUGGUGGGGUAGUGGCUUACCAAGGCUUUGACGGGUAGCCGGCCUGAGAGGGUGACCGGCCACAUUGGGACUGAGAGACGGCGCAGACUCCUACGGGAGGCAGCAGUGGGGAGUAUUGCACAAUGGGCGGAAGCCUGAUGCAGCAACGCCGCGUGCGGGAUGACGGCCUUCGGGUUGUAAACCGCUUUCGCCUGUGACGAAGCGUGAGUGACGGUAAUGGGUAAAGAAGCACCGGCUAACUACGUG